GCACCCGUAGCUCAGCUGGAUAGAGCGCUGCCCUCCGAAGGCAGAGGCCUCGCGUUCGAAUCGCGACGGGUGCACCA
rnacentral:tRNA from 1 species